UACUGGGAUCAACAUCUUCAGUGUCCUGCAACUUUUAGGGAUUUCUUUUAGUUUUUUUUUCUGAAAUAUUUCUCCUUUUAUGUUCUUCAGCUGAAAAUUGUUGUGUGUACCUGUUGCAGAUUCAUGUUGUAGAACAGGUUUGUGUCCGAGGGAUUAGAUUCUCCUCCACCAUCUUCGCUUUGCUGCCUCUUCAUGAUGCAAGUCUAGCUCCGAUGUCUGCAAGGUAGGUUUAAUGAUUUUUAGUGCAUUUCCUUCACCAUUUGUUUGUAAUAGUUAUUCAGUUGUUGUUUUCCUUACAUUGUUAUCUCCUGUUGUGAUGAAACUGUCCUCUACUUUGCUCCUGUAGUUUUCCUCCUUAGAUUCCCCAAUGUUCGUAGAUCCAUCUCUGGAUUGGAAUGUACCUCAAGGUUCAUCACCAGUUUAACUUUAAGACAUUUAGGUUUUUUUGCAGCAGUUAAUUGAGAUUUUUGAUUUUAUACCUUGUAUAUAAUGUCAGAAUGAAGGAGUGCAGUGAAAGAAAAUGAUUCUUGCAUCAUAAUUUUGGUUAGCCUUUUACCUUUUUAUGUAUUUUAAUCAUCUUCGCAAAGUUUUAGGUACUGUAUCUCACAUUUAAUAUGAGUUCUUCCCGUGUCAAUCUCAGUAGAUCCUCUUCAUUACUGUCCUCAUCAUGCUCCUCUCGUGACACAUUUUAAAAAGUAGAAUGUCAGUGCUAGCAUAAUCAUCAACAACAAAGCUUAUAGAAAUAGAUGAAAGCAGAAUGUCUGUGUUAGCAUAAUCGCAAUCAUGCUUGAAUGCAUUCUGUAGGUUGUAUUUUGCGCUUACAGUGUAAUAACUAGGUACUUACAGUGUAAAUACUUUAGUUUUCUUGAGUUUUUUACAUUUGGAAAUUGCUAGGUACUUACAGUGUAAUUACUUUAGUUUUCUUGAUUUUACAGUGUAAUUAUUUGGGUGUUUACGGUGUAAUUGUCUUUUGUCUCCAUGUUUACACCGUCUUUUGCACUGUAAUUUUCUAUGAUUUACACUGUAAUAUUCUAGGAUUUACUGGGUUUAAUUUGCACUGUAAUUGCAGUGUAAUUACACUGUAAUUUUCUAGGAUUUACAGUCGAAAUCCCCUCUAAAUUAAAGUAAACUACACCAGUUUUCACUGUAAUUUUCUAGGAUUUACAAUGGAAUUUUUACACAGUACCUUUAGUUUACACUGGAAUUUACUAGGUAUUUACAGUGUUAUUGUCUUUUGUCUUCAUGCUUACACCGGUUUUUUCACUGUAACUUUCUAUGAUUUACAUUGUAAUUUUCUAGGAUUUACUGGGUUUAAUUUACACUUUAAUUGCAGUUAAUUUCCUAGGAUUUACAGUGGAAUUUUUACUAGGUGGCAUGAUUUAAUUCACACUGGAAUUUACAGGGUUUACAGUGUAAUCUCUUGUUUACACCGGGUUUUGCACUGUAAUUCUCUAUGAUUUACACUGUCAUUUGCUAGGAUUUACAGACUAGGCACCUACAGUUUAAUUUGCUCUGGAAUUUACUGGGUAUUUACAGUGUAAUUGCAUCUUUUGUCUACAUUUUUCACUGGUUUUUGCACUGUAAAUUUCUAGGAUCCGCACUGUAAUUUUCCAGGAUUUACUGGCAGUGUAAUUACCAGCAGUUACAGUUUGGAAUUUAUGGUGAAUAUACACUUGAAAUUGUAGGUAUUUUGUGUUUUACAAGUAUAGUUACAUGGGGAUUUACACUGGAAAUUACUAGGAUCCUACACUGUAUGUUUUCUGAAAUUUUUACUAUCUUUCCCAUGUUAAUUCCUUGUUGAUGUCUCUUUAUGUUUUUUCCCAGAAUUAUAGCUGAUGUUGAUCUCUCUGUUUGUAGAUGAAGCAAUUUCUUUGUGAUUUGUUCAAGCAAGAGGUGAAGAGGGGUUUGCCCUUUGCGUGCGUUCCAGUGUAGGCAUGUGAUGUGUCGUCCUGGAGAUCAGGCGGAUGCUGGCCCCUGAUUUUCUGGAGGGGUUUGUUGUCCAGGACGAACCGGGUCAAAUGUUUAGCCCAACCUGUUUAGGCGUUCUUUUUGUUAUCUGUUCAUAUUUCUGCUAUUUACAGGUGCCAGCUGUUGAUUGGUGAGGGUAUUUGAUUGUUUUCGAAUUGAAAAACAAUCAAAUGUCAAAUAGACAGUCCCAAAAAAUUUAGUCUCAAAACUAGUUUUAGCCCCUCUUUAGUCAGGGGUGCUUGAAACUUUAGCCUCUUAGGCCUUGUUUGGAUAUGUAGGAUUAGCCCAACAGGUUUUCCGUGAAUCCGUAUAACCGCCUAACGGAUUAAAACCUUGUUUGGGUCCUCCAACAAAAACGUGGAUAAAAAUAAUUCUGUCUUCAGAAAGCUGGAAAACUGUGUUUUAUCAAAAACAACUAUUAGUCGUUUUUGUGAAAAAGGGUUUAAAGAAAACUUGAUGUAACAGAAUUUCUUCUCUCCGCUCCUUCCUCAACAAACUCAUCAGCUGAAUCGGUCUCCAAAACAAACAAGGAACUGCGCUCGCUGGUUUCACCCUCUCGUAGCUCAAACAAAGUUUUUCUUAAACAUGGUUUGCACAAAAAAGAGAGUAAUGCCCGUUUUACUAAAAAUCAGCUGAAAACUUGUUUUCUAAAAAUCCAACGAUAAUCCCCGCUAUCCAAACAACCACUUAAAGAAACUAUUUUUUGUCAGACUAAAAUAAGUCCCUUGGAUCCAAGCACCCUCUUAGUUGGCCUCCACACCCUGCGUGGUCCUCCUUCACCACCAUCAGGGGCCUCCACCGCGACGUCCACCGCCCGCGAGCGAGCCACAACGCAGCCCAGACCAUCCACCCCGUGAGUCUGGCCAAGCUGGACGAACCACCAAGACCAACCACUGUUGGACCUAGAUUCUGGGCCACUGCCCCGACAUCUCUGCUGCCGACUACGAGAGCUGCACCAGUUGGGUCGACUUCCAAACCACCCAAGCAGCUUGGCCAGAGACCCCUACAACAUCGAUACAUGGCUCCACCACAUAAAUCCAUCGCCGUGAUGCAUUCCGAGGCCGUCGCUCCAGCUUCCACCUUCGCAGAUCUGAGAGAAGAACCACUGUCUAGGGCCGCUGCCCCGGCACCCACAAUACCCGCCACAGCAGAUCCACUGGCAUAGGCCUCCGUAGCGUCGCCGCACACCCACCCUGCCCCAGACCAAGAAGAACACCACCCGCCCAGCGGGCGUGAGCGGGAGGCAUGCCAACCGGAGGCAGAGGCAAAGCCACCUGCUCCGUUGCCACGACACUGGGAGGCGCCGCCUGGACAGGAGGGGUCUAGUGAGGAGGAAGGAGUGCGGGAAGCAUGCUAGAACCACCAUCCGCGGCCGCGCCGCCGCCGAACACCCAAGUCACGACGCGCAGGGCAUCCACGGCCACCCGCCACAGGCACACGCGCCGACCACCUUUGCGUGCGUUCUAGUGUGGGCAUGUGAUGUGUCGUCCUGGAGAUCAGGCGGAUGCUGGCCCCUGAUUAUGUACGAGAUCUCUGAAGAAUCAACAUAGUACCUGUAGAAAGAAAAUAGUUAUGUACCAGUAGGAAGCAACCCUAUGCAUGUCCUCACUCUCAUAUGCCCGUGCGUUGCAACGGGAAAAAACAAAUCAUCGCAUGUUCCAAGUGACCCAUCGGUGUUACCACUCUCUUUGCCAUCGUGGUCAUGUUGUGCAUCUAUUCAUGAUGAACAAGAUCAAUCUCAGGUAAUGAGCCUGAUCGUCACACUCUAGCACACACCUUUAGCAAUCCCAUCAUGUGCCUCGCAACAGAAAAAAUUAUCCCUACUCCCUCCUACCAGAACAGAACACAUCUAAAUUGAUGCCUACAAAAUUGUUAUAGUACAAAGCAAGCCAAAUUUGCCAUGCCUCUAUGCUAGCAAUUUUUUGGUUAAAUUGAAAAAUAAUAUAAAUUUAUUUUUAAGCUACCAAAACUCUGAUUAGCUGUUAUGUAGCGACCAGACCUCAGACGGUCCAAUCUCUGUGCUCAGGUGUCAUCCCUGGAUCAGUAAUGUUGACACCACACAGUACUUGAAGUAUUUAUAACAGAGUAGCAAUCACACACUUAUUACAGCGAACGUCUCAAAAGAGAACUUAUUACAAUAAUAUGGCUUAAGGCCAUCUAAUUCUAUAACAGCGGAAGGCUUGGAAGAUAAAGUGAGUCCAUCAACUCCAACGGCAUAGCUGAGCUGCACGGCAAUGACCUAACGAACCUUACUCCUCGUCUGAAAAGUCUGCAACAUAAUACGUUGCAGCCCGAAAACGGGUCAGCACAUGAAAUAUGCUGGCAAUAUAACACAGUAGAGCAAGAAUAGAAUAAUUCUAUCACUACAUGCAUAUAUGGCUGGUGGAAAGCUGUAUGGUUAUAGUUUUUGCGAAAAGCCAAUUUUUCCCUACAACAAAGGAAUAGACUUUAAUUUAACUAUCAUGGUGGUUGAAACAUCAUUGAGAAGGUACCCCCAACUCAAUCCCAAUUAAAGUAAUUAACAACCCAACAAUAUUAAUUAAACAUGGUGAGAUACAUGCGAUAACUCAAGCACUAGAUACUCAAGAAUUGUCCAUAACCGGGGACACGGCUAACCAUGAUUAGAUUGUACACUCUGAAGAGGGUUGCGCACUUUUCCCCACAAGACUCGAUCACCUCCGUUGGAUUUCUCGCACUACAUGGUGUUUGAGAAACGGAUGAACGAGACACAGUCUUUCAGAAACAUUAACUCUCUACUCCGAGUAGACAAUACCAAACCUACAAAACCCACUAUGUAACACCCCGGAUACGAUUUUCCCAAUAUGUACUUCAACUCUUGCCAUUUCCGGCGUUAAGUUAUUUUAUUUUCUCGGGUUCGGGUUUUUGUCUCCGUGUGUUGUUAUCGUUGUCAUGCAUCUCAUAUCAUGUCAUCAUGUGCAUUGCAUUUGCAUACGUGUUCAUCUCAUGCAUUCGAGCUUUUUCCCCGUUGUCCGUUUUGCAUUCCGGCGCUCCGUUCUCCUCCGGUAGUCAUUUCUACCUUUCUUUCGUGUGUGGGGAUUAAACAUUUCCGGAUUGGACCGAGACUUGCCAAGCGGCCUUGGUUUACUACCGGUAGACCGCCUGUCAAGUUUCCUAGCAUUUGGACUUCAUUUGAUGCUCCAGCGGUUAACCGAUGGACCGAAAAGGCCUCGUGUAUGUUGCAGCCCAACACCCCUCCAAGUUGGCCCAAAACCCACCAAAAACCCUCUCCAUCAUCUAGAGCGUUCAAUCACGAUCGCGUGGCCGAAAACCGCACCUCAUUUGGACACUCCUAGCUCCCUCUACCUCUAUAUAAAGACCACCCUCCGAAAUUCGCGGUUCCAUUCUCCCUCUAACCCUAGAUCCAUCUGCCCCCGCCGCCGGACACGUCCGACCCCCACCGGACAAAAACGCCGCCGCCAACCGGGGCGCGCCACGUGGCAGCAGGCGCCCCACUUCACCGCCGCCACCGACGCGGGCCCGAAGGCCCAGCGCCGGCCCUCCCCAUCGCCCGACCGGCCCGACCGGCCUCCCGCCGCGCCUCCUCGCCUCACCGCCCGACGCUGCCUACCGCCGCCUCCCCGAGGCCUCGCCGCCGAUGAUGCGCCUCCUCCACGCCGGCCAAGGCCCCGGCGAGCAGCGCCCCGCUCCGGCCACCCUCGCCCCGGCCUUCUUCCCCGACGAACUCCGGCGAGCUUCAAGUCCCUCUCCGGCGAACCUCGUAGCCCGUGCGGCCAGAUCUGGAUCCAGAUCCAAAAACUCGAUUGACUUUUGCCUCAAACCCUAAAUAUUUUGCCCCUGUUCAUCAUGCCGUAACUCCUCAUCCGUAGCUCCGUUUUGGGCAUAUAGCAUAUCAAAAUGUUCGCCUCAGAGAGCACAUCAUUUCAUCUCAUUGCAUCAUUUUCAUUUGAGUUCAUCUUGAUGCCCGAAAUGCUGUUAGAAGAAUGCUAUUUGAGAUAAUUGUCAGAUCUGCUACUCCAUUUAGAUAAUUGUCAUUUUUGCCAUGAUUAUUGUGUGCAUGAUAUGCCCUUGAGCUCUACAUGUGUUUUGUUACAUGUUUUGCCAUCUAUCCAGAGGUGCAACCCAUGUAUUUUUGUGAUGUGUGUGGUGACUAGCACAAGCUUGCAAAGUGGAGCAUUCGUUAAUGCUGAUUUCAGGGACUUAGCAUUUCCACUAAGUCCUUCGACUGUUUAUCUCAAUAUGCCAUAUGUUCAUGUUGUUUCCUAGUGAUCCGUGCCUCUUUUGAGGAUGAUCAGUAAGGAUGUUUUGUUAAUCUUGUAGUGCUCUAUCCAUCCAUGUCUUUGUUUGCAAUUAUGGAGCACCCUAGCUUGAGUAAAUUGAGCUCUACUUUUGUCAUUUCGUGAAUCUGGGCAGAUUGUCUACUUGAUAGCAAUUUUGCUGAGGAUGUUGUAGUUGAUCCAUGCAUGCUAUGUCAUUGCUCUUGCCAUAUCUAGCUUGUAUUUUGUGUAUUCUUGAUGGGUGUAUGCUUAGAUUGUCAUGACUUGAUCUGUAGUGAGUGCAUCGAGCUCGUAAACAUGCCUACUUGAUAUCUGUUUCAGCAUCCUCCAGUUUUCACUAAGUUUGAGAACUGAUUAUGUUUUUGCCAUGUUCACAUGCUUGCAAAUGUAUUUUCUGAUCCCUUUUGGCUCAAGGUCACCAAGGGACUUUUGUUAAGCUCUUUGAGUAGCUCCAUGCCAUGCUUUACUUUGCCAUGUUCAGGUCUUGUAGGAUAUAGUUUUCAUGCUCCAAAGUGGGCUACGUGAUAUGAAAUUCCAGACAAGUGUUGAUUUCACUAAGUCUGAAAUCUGUUUACCAAAUGCAUUUUUGCCAUGCUUGUUUGAACCUGUUAAUGGAUGAAUUGGCCGUAGCUCAGUGCUAGUCUUUUGUUAAGCAUCAUGAAUGGAUCCCUGCCAUGUAAUUUGUUGUCAUGUUUGGGUGUUGUAGCAUGUUCAUCUUGUUGCAUUUAGUUGGCUACUUGCUGUAAAUCGCAGAACGUGGUCAUAUUUGAAUUGCUUGCCAUUCCCAAACCGUAACUCCGAUUCCGGCGUUCUUUAUAUCGUUUUUCGUUUUCAAGCGAUUUCAUCUCACCUUUCCAGUGGCACACUUGGAUUUCCAAGUUGAGGCCAGGUUCAUGCAUUCCUUGUCAAAUCUUGCAUAUGCAUCACAAAUUGCAUCCUACAUAGCAUACCAUCUUUGCAUCAUGUUGUUUGAGUUUGCACAUGGUUGAUUGUGUCCUUAUUGCUUGUUUGUCUUGUUUGGGUAGAGCCGGGAGAUGAGUUCUCUAACGAGGAGCCCGUUGAGUUUGCUUUCGAGGAUCUAGUCAACUCUGACAACUUUGCAGGCAAGAUGAUCAUACCCUCAAAAUCACUACUAUCUUUGCUUUACUAGAUGCUCGCUCUUUUGCUAUGCCUAUGCUACGAUGCCUACCACUUGCUUAUCAUGCCUCUCAAAUUUCCAUGUCAAACCUCUAACCCACCAUGUCCUAGCAAACCGUUGAUUGGCUACGUUACCGCUUUGCUCAGCCCCUCUUAUAGCGUUGCUAGUUGCAGGUGAAGAUUGGAGACCGUUCCUUGUUGGAACAUUAUUUACUUGUUGGGAUAUCAUUAUAUUGCCUUGUUAUCUUAAUGCAUCUAUAUACUUGGUAAAGGGUGGAAGGCUCGGCCUCUCGCCUAGUGUUUUGUUCCACUCUUGCCGCCCUAGUUUCCGUCAUAUCGGUGUUAUGUUCCCGGAUUUUGCGUUCCUUACGCGAUUCGGUGAUAAUGGGAACCCCUUGAUAGUUCGCCUUGAUUAAAGCUUUUCCAGCAAUGCCCAACCUUGGUUUUACCAUUUGCCACCUAGCCUCUUUUUCCCUUGGGUUUCCGGAGCCCGAGGGUCAUCUUAUUAAACCCCCCCGGGCCAUUGCUCCUCUGAGUGUUGGUCCGAACCAGGCAGCCUGCGGGGCCACCUCGGGGAAACUCGAGGGCUGGUUCUACUCGUAGCUUGACCUAUCUGAGUGUGCCCUGAGAACGAGUUAUGUGCAGCUCCUAUCGGGAUUUGUCGGCACAUUCAUGCGGUGUUGCUGGAUUUGUUUUAACUUGUCGAAGUGUCUUGUAGAACUGGGAUACCGAGUCUGAUCGGAAUGUCUCGGGAGAAGGUCUAUUCCUUCGUUGACCGUGAGAGCUUGUCAUGGGCUAAGUUGGGACUCCCCUGCAGGGAUUUGAACUUUCGAAAGCCGUGCCCGCGGUUAUGGGCAGAUGGGAAUUUGUUAAUGUCCGGUUGUAGAUAACUUGAACCUUAACUUAAUUAAAAUGAAUCAACAGUGUGAGUUACCGUGAUUGUCUCUUCUCGGCGGAGUCCGGGAAGUGAACACGGUGUUGGUGUAAUGCUUGCCGCAGGAUGUUCUCUAGUUACUCGUUCGCGCUUUGCCUCCUCUUCUCGCCCUCUUUUGCGAACAGGAUAGCCACCAUAUAUGCUAGUCCCUUGCUGCAGCUCCACAUAUUUUACCUUGCCUUUACCUAUAAGCUUAAAUAGUCUUGAUCGUGAGGGUGCGAGAUUGCUGAGUCCCUGUGGCUCACAGAUUACUUCCAAACCAGAUGCAGGGCCUGAUGACUCCGUUCCAGAUGACGCGCUUGAGCUCAAGUGGGAGUUUGACGAGGACUCACCUCGUUACUACGUGUCUUUCCCUAAUGAUCAGUAGUGGUGCCCAGUCGGGGUGAUCGGGACCGUGUCGCAUGUUGGGUUAUCUUUCAUUUUGGCGCCGUAGUCAGGCCAUGAGUGUUUGAUUGUUGUAAUGCUAUUUAUGUACUUUGAUUGACGUGGCGAGUGUAAGCCAACUAUGUAUCUCCCCUUUUAUUAUCUAUACUACAUGGGAUGUUGUGAAGAUUGCCUAACUUGCGACAUUGCUUUCAAUGCGGUUAUGCCUCUAAGUCGUGCCUCGACACGUGGGAGCUAUAGCCGCAUCGAGGGUGUUACACACUACCUGCUGAUCUACCUCUUCAAGAGCUUCACGUAACCUACUCAACUAUGCUAGAGCCCAUAAUAGCUUGUGGCUGCACACGGAAGUUUCUAGCAUGAAUCAUCUCAGUUCCCUUUGAGCCUGGGUGCCGGUCCAUAGGAAGAUCACACGGGUACCCCGGGAUUUCCAAAAAAACAGGCAACACUGGGUUCCCCAGGUGCCUCAAUCCACCCAGUUGUUUGAUUAAGUUGCCACCUUAAGUUGAACCAUUAAUUAAGAAUCUGACAACUGUCAUGGAUUUCACUCAAACCCGAACCAUGUCUACGAGCAUAGCAUGGCAAUAUAAGCAAUACGUAGAGGUAACUCCCAAGUGUUUGAAUAUAACAGGGAAAUAGGUUCUACCUCAGCAACUACUUCCCAACCCACAAGUUAAUGACAUCCUAAUCAUGCAAUGUUUGAGGAUUGGAACUAAUGCACAAAAACUGGGUUUGGAAAGAGUAUGAUCAAUGUGUUACUUGCCUUGCUGACGAUCCGCGAAUCCUAGAGACUCGUAGUAACAUGCUUCGCACUCUGGGAAUUCUAUCGCAAGCAAACAAUAACAUACAUAAGUAACAAGCAACGACGCACAAGCAAAACUCAAACAAGAGAGGUUGACUAGAAAGUUCAAUUUAAGAAUUCUGGUUUGCAAAAGAAUCAAAUCGAACAAAGCAACAAAACUCAACCAGCGAACGAAAGAAACUUUGUUUACUAAUCUGAACUUAGGUCAAAUUUUACAGUAGCAAAAACUUGUUUGAGUUGAUUAACCAGAAAGAGGGUUUCGAGAUGAAACUCCACGCGCUUGAAUCUCCUGAUUCCUAUAAACGAGCGAAAAGAUAAACAGAAACUAAGAUCGGAUCCGAAAUCGUGAUAAGAAAAAUCGCGGAAUAAAUCCAAGAAAAAGGAAAAACGAAGAACAGGUUAACAAAGUAUUCUAUGGUUUGGUAGAUUAAUUAUCUCCACUCCAUAUGUAUCUCCUAGUACACGAAGCCACUGAUUGACUUGUUCAAGAAACACGAAGUCUGUUCUAAGGGUAAUCCUUUGGACUUCCACGCGUGGAGACUUCAAUAUCCUUGAUGAUGGUUCCCCACCUGAACUCGGUAGUGCUUUAUUGUAAGACUACUUUGUGGUCAUGCUUGUCUUGGACAACAUGUUCACAUGUAUGUAGCAGAACUAGCUCAUGUUUUGGAGCUUGCUAUCAUAGUUCACCUCCCGAGAGUCUCGCAACGUUAUCUCGUCGACUUGUGUUGCAACCUUUCUUUUCUAGGCAUGUUGUCUGAAAAAUCCUGUUACCAGCCAGAUCUGAAUCUCAGGCAGAUAUGAUGGCUGGAACAUUUCCAAGAUCUAUGAUGUUGGUCCCGACGAGGUUGAUGUUCUGGCCGACACACCUAGCCGGAAGAUCUAUUAUUGUAGUAUCUUGAACGAGCAAUUCGACCAUCUUCUCCAUGAGGAUUUGGUAUGACUUUUUCCACAAGUUGUUCCUUAUGGAUUCUUGUGCUCCCGAAGUACGACCUUUUACUUGAUGUUCUAGAUACCAAACCAUAUCAAUAAAUGGGUUACGCUAGCACAUCAAGGAGAACAUUAGAAGCGGAGUGCUCAGUGUCUCUCGGUCGAUCAUCCAGAUUUUUAUUUGGCCUCGCUAAGGUGAAAUCUGGGAAGGUGUUAUCUUCCUUUGCGUCUGCAUCGUCCAUCACUAUUCAUCAUGGUAGUAUGAUGUGUCGCCAGGAUCCUCGGCAUGGAUGUUGGUAAGACCCUGAUGAAUAUGGAAAUGCUCAUGUUCUUGAGAGCAUGCUUGGACACUAGGUUAUAUCCUCGGUAUCAAUUGGAAUGUGCCUUCCGUAUGCCGAGUUGUCCUAUAACUCCAGUUUCCUCUCCAAACUGAGUAUGCCAUUCUCUCGAAUUCUUUCAAACGAUCAAUUGUGAUUUGCCUCAGGCUGGUAUGAAGAGUUUCAAUGAUCUAUGGAUCAAAAGUAAUUCUUUUUGCCACUUAAGGUAAUAAUUCCAUGAGUCACCUCCCCCAAGGUGCCUCGUUGUGGUAUCAUGGCAACCCAACUCCUCGCUACGUUGACACCGUUCACCACCCUCCUAGGUGUGGGAAUUCCGCUAUUUAUUUAAACCUUGUCGUAUGCUCAUUUCCAUCAUUCUUGAUGUGUGUAUCGUCUCUCAUCUCGACAGAUGUCGCUAUGUCUCGUUCUGUGAGUUGAUCGUCGGUUGCUCGAUCUUCGAGAAGAUCGAUUCUUCGAGAGUUUCCUUUCUUCCCGUGAUCGUGUUGGAUAGAGUUCUCAAAGCAAGACAUCGAGACAAAGAUGGUGAUCGUGUCAACAUUCUUAUGAAGUGCAACCUGGAUCGUGAAGACCGUGUUAGCCUUGUGUCCCCUCUGUCUUCUUACCCCACGUCUUAAAUCUCGGGACGAGAUUCUUGUUUAGUGGGGGUGAGUUGUCACUGCCCUAGAAUUCUGCUUUAUAAUUAGUUGCAUCAGUGAGUGGCAUCCAUGCAUCAUGUCUAAAUUUCCAGUGAAAUUGAAUUGAGGGAAUUCUCAAGCCUCAUAGAUCAUUUCUAAAAAUGAUCAACCUUAAAAAUUGCUUCAAACGAACCCAAGAAAAUGUUCCUGUUAAACUAUAAAAAUAUUGGCAAGAAAUAAAACUCAAACCAAUAUUUUUGGAGUCUUAGAAAUAUUUGUUUGGGGCAUUUGAGUUAAUCCAAUAAUUAUUUGCAUUAGACUUAUAUUUGUGAUAUAUUAACUAUAUGUCCAAUAAUUCUGAUAAUUGUUGAGGGGCUUUGGAAUAAUCCAUUUAGUCCCUGCAAAAAUUAUCAGAAGCGGAAAAAUUAGUUUGGUUCAAAAACCAAAUUAAAACCCAUUUGCAUAAAUAGAAAACAGUAACAAAACAGAAAGGAGAGAGAGUGGGUUUUACCUGGCAGCCCAGUAGACAGCCGGCCCAGUCAGCCCAGCGGGUGCAGUCUUCAAACUUUGCCAGUAGGCAAAGGCGAAGUCACACGCGCGCACGCGAAGGCCUCCACCUCCUGCUUCGCGGUGGCAGCCUCCCCGGCCUCCUAACCGCGCCACGGAGACGCCCGUGGCCCCCUUGAUCCUCUCCUCUCUCUCCGCACCUCGCUGCUCUCUCUCCCCUCCUCUGGUUCUCUUCCCCUUGUUGUUCCCCACCUCACCGAACCGCGCCGCCGCCACCGAUGAGCUCCACCACGGCCGCAACCACUCCCUCGCUCCCUCUUCGGGUCCCCGAGCUCCACCACGACCCCGUGGAGCAACACACUCGACGCACGCGACCAGAAGAGGCCCCAGUCAACCGGAGUGUCGUCGUCUUCACCUCCGGUGCCCGGAGAUCGACUCCGUCGAUUCGCCUCAUCCAGAGCGUCCCCGAGCCCGCUGAGCUUGUCUACGUGACCGUUGUGAGCUCACCAUCUUUUCCCCCUCGUUAUCUUCGUUGUUUGCGACCUCCAGCGUCCGUAACCGCCGUGGCCGAGCUUCCCCUGCUGCCGGCCAUGUCGCCGUCGUUGUUGCAGCCACUGCAGCUCGAGCCUGAGAGUGUCACCGUGCUCAGCAUGUCUGCAGGAGCACGAAGCACCCCACCGCUCGACCCGCCAUGCACUACAACGCUGAUUCCGAGCUUGACCGAACCACGGCCGCCGCAAACCUCGUCGCCGGCAUUGAUUCCGGCGAGCCCCGCGCCCAACUCCGCCUCCUCUUGAUGCGGGCGAGCAAGGGCUAUGCCCUGGUGCCCUCAGCGCGCUAACCCGACGCCUCUAGCGCAAAUUCGGCGCGCCCCACCGUGUGCUGUGGUCGCCGCUGGUUGAACUCCGGUGAGAUGACGUGGCCCGUCAUUAGUAGCUAACCGCCCCACUAACUAACCCUCCAGUGACACCGACAUAUGGGCCCCACGCCCUUAAUUAACCAUAGUUUAGUUUCUGAUUAGUUUUAACUAAUAAACGUGGCCCCACCAGUCAGAGUUGACCCUGCUGACAUGGUCGUUGACCGGACCCACCUGUUCGUGACACUGAUGACCCCGGGUCACUGACCAAUGGACCCCACUGGUCAGGUUUGACCUGGGCUGGCACCGUUGACCUGCUGACGUCAGCAUGAUGUCAUGCUGGCGCUGUAAUGAUUUUCUAGUUUUAAAAUAAUCCAGGAAAUUCCAGAAAAUAGUAUAAACUUCUAAAAAUCAUAGAAAUUAAACCGUAACUCCAAAUAUGAUAAAUUAUAUAUGAAAAAUGAUCAAAAAAUUCCAAUCUAUCCAUCUAUACCAUUCUCAUGCAUGUUAGAGCAACUUAUAGCUACUGUUUAGGACAAAUCAAAUGAAUGGCAUUUAAAUAACCAUAUGUGGAGUUUGAAUUUGAACCUUGGGUUCAAACCAACUACAGUUAAUUGUGUUGCUAGUUCCAUUAGGCCAAAUCACAUCAUAUUGCCAUGACAUAAUCAUGCAUCAUAAUUGUUGCAUUACAUUGAUUGUGUUCUUCCUUGUUUGCCGGUGUUUGUUCCCUCUCGAUAGACGUGGUUUCGACGAUGUGAUCGAUGACACCGAUGAAGAACUAUACUAUCUUCAGAAGUGCCAGGCAAGCAAAACCCUCUUGUUCAUUUCGAUACAAGCCCACUCUCUCGCUCCUGCUCUCUUUUAAUGCAUUAGCACAACAACGUUUCAAUUAUUUCAUGCUGCGGUAGCUGAACCCCUUUCCUCUGCAUGACCUGUCAUUGCCACAGUAAAUAGAUGAAACCCACUAGCAUGAGUAGGAGUUGUUUGAGCCGAUGUGCCUACUCAUUCAUGUUGUUGUCAUGCCUGCUACUGCUUAGAGUUGAGUCAGGUCUGAUUCACCAGGGAUGAAUUGGAAUGGUGUUGAACAUGUCCUACUGUGUGUGAGCUAAGUGUGUGAACAUGAUUUGGUAAAGGUAGCGGUGAGAGGCCAUGUAGGAGUACAUGGUGGGUUGUCUCAUUGCAGCCGUCCUCAGGAACUGAGUUCUGUGUUUGUGAUCCAUGAACAGUUACUACCACACAUUAGGCUUCGGGCGCUCCAAGCUCUCUCGACUUAUUAAUCAACUCGAUCUCUGUCCAGGAGUUGCAACUAGUUUCUGGUGUUUGUAGGUAGUGUUAGUAGUCUACCAAGUGGCACCCGGUACAGGUGGGCUUGGGACAGACUAGGCACAGUGGCACGGUGUACCAAGUGGCACCUGGAUGGUGGGCUUGGGAACCCUGCACACAUCGUUUGGGGCCGUGAGCAACACCCCGGCCGGAUCUCCUUGCGGAUGGAACCCGAAUAGGCGAUAAACCUGGACUAGAGACUUGUUGGUUAGUCAGGUCGUGGCCGACUCCCUCGCCCGGCUUCCGCUUGAAGGUUGCCGAGGUACAUGACGUGUACAGGGCGAUAAGUGGCGAGAGCGUGUGUGAAUAAGUACACCCCUGCAGGGUUAUCAUUAUCUACUCGAAUAGCCGGAUUCCUCGGAUAUGGAAACUUGGACCCCUUGCAUAGUUCAUAGACAAGUGAAAGUGGAUACUCUAAAACUCGCAAGAUAAGCGUGAGUGCUAUGGAUGGCGUUCUCGCAGGGAGACAGGAGCAGAUCCAUAGUGGUGUAUUGGUAUGGUGAAUUUGUGGACUCGUGUGCGCCACCUCAAAAGAGUUACUUGCAGUCGUAGUUCAGGUUAGCCACUGAGUCAAAGCUGGCUUGCUACAGUUAAACUCCACCACCCUCUUUGUUGAUACCGAUGCAUAUGUAGUUAGUUCUGAUGUAAGUCUUGCUAGGUACAUUUGUACUCACAUUUGCUUAUUUUAUGUUUUGCAGAGAGACUUCAGUCUCUCUAGUAGUUCCACGUGGACUUUGAUGUUUAGUUUGUUACCUCAGCUACGAUCUUGUACCCUUGGGAGGGUCUUGUAGAUAGUCAGGCUCCUCAGCCUUCUUCAUUUUUAGUUGUCUGUACUCAGACAAGUUAAGCUUCCGUAUGUGCUUGUUGCUUGUAUGCUCUGUAUGUUUGGUCAUGAGACCCAUGUUUGUAACAUCUCGCUCUUCGGAGCCUAAUGAAUAAUACUCUGAGUCGUAGAGUCUUGUUGUGAUGCCAUAUUGUAUUGCACAUAUUGAGCAUAUUGUGUGUAUGAUUGAAAUGCUUGGUAUGUGUGGGAUCCGACAACCUAGUUGUUUAUCCUUGGUAGCCUCUCUUAUGGGAAAAUGUAGUCUUGUGCUUCCAUGAGCCAUAGUAGUCCGCUACAGCCCGGUUCAACGGAUCGAAGUCCUGCUAGCCCAGCACUACUGCUCCGGAACACUUGACUGGCCGGCAUGUGAUUCACUUCGUUCCUGUGUCUGUCCCUUCGGAGAAAUGUCACACGGUGACAUCCGGAGUCCUGCCUAGCCUGCUACAGCCCGGGUUCCCGGAGUCCUGUUAGCCCAGUGCUACAGCCCGGAUUCAUACGCUGCUGACUGACAUGCUCGAUGUUGAUUCAUGUAUGCCUGUCCCCGUAAGUUAGUGCCACUUUGGGUUCACGACUAGUCAUGUCGGCCCGGGUUCUCUGUCAUAUGGAUGCUAGCGACACUAUCAUAUACGUGAGCCAAAAGGCGCAAACGGUCCCGGACCAUGGUAAGGCGACACCCGUGGGAAUACCGUGCGUGAGGCCGCAAAGUGAUAUGAGGUGUUACAGGCUAGAUCGGUAGAAUCGAGGUCCUGACACUGCUUCUAUACUGGGAUCAACAUCUUCAGUGUCCUGCAACUUUUAGGGAUUUCUUUUAGUUUUUUUUUCUGAAAUGUUUCUCCUUUUAUGUUCUUCAGCUGAAAAUUGUUGUGUGUACCUGUUGCAGAUUCAUGUUGUAGAACAGGUUUGUGUCCCAGGGAUUAGAUUCUCCUCCACCAUCUUCGCUUUGCUGCCUCUUCAUGAUGCAAGUCUAGCUCCGAUGUCUGCAAGGUAGGUUUAAUGAUUUUUAGUGCGUUUCCUUCACCAUUUGUUUGUAAUAGUUAUUCAGUUGUUGUUUUCCUUACAUUGUUAUCUCCUGUUGUGAUGAAACUGUCCUCUACUUUGCUCCUGUAGUUUUCCUCCUUAGUUUCCCCAAUGUUCGUAGAUCCAUCUCUGGAUCGGAAUGUACCUCAAGGUUCAUCACCAGUUUAAUUUUAAGACAUUUAGGUUUUUUUUGCAGCAGUUAAUUGAGAUUUUUGAUUUUAUACCUUGUAUAUAAUGUCAGAAUGAAGGAGUGCAGUGAAAGAAAAUGAUUCUUGCAUCAUAAUUUUGGUUAGCCUUUUACCUUUUUAAUGUAUUUUAAUCAUCUUUGCAAAGUUUUAGGUACUGUAUCUCACAUUUAAUAUGAGUUCUUCCUGUGUUAAUCUCAGUAGAUCCUCUUCAUUACUGUCCUCAUCAUGCUCCUCUCGUGACACAUUUUGAAAAGUAGAAUGUCAGUGCUAGCAUAAUCAUCAACAGCAAAGCUUAUACAAAUAGAUGAAAGCAGAAUGUCUGUGUUAGCAUAAUCGCAAUCAUGCUUGAAUGCAUUCUGUAGGUUGUAUUUUGCGCUUACAGUGUAAUAACUAGGUACUUACAGUGUAAAUACUUUAGUUUUCUUGAGUUUUUUACAUUUGGAAAUUGCUAGGUACUUACAGUGUAAUUACUUUAGUUUUCUUGAUUUUACAGUGUAAUUAUUUGGGUGUUUACAGUGUAAUUAUCUUUUGUCUCCAUGUCUACACCGUCUUUUGCACUGUAACUUUCUAUGAUUUACACUGUAAUAUUCUAGGAUUUACUGGGUUUAAUUUGCACUGUAAUUGCAGUGUAAUUACACUGUAAUUUUCUAGGAUUUACAGUUGAAAUCCCCUCUAAAUUAAAGUAAACUACACCAGUUUUCACUGUAAUUUUCUAGGAUUUACAAUGGAAUUUUUACUAGGUACCUUUAGUUUACACUGGAAUUUACUAGGUAUUUACAGUGUAAUUGUCUUUUGUCUCCAUGCUUACACCGGUUUUUUCACUGUAACUUUCUAUGAUUUACAUUGUAAUUUUCUAGGAUUUACUGGGUUUAAUUUACACUGUAAUUGCAGUUAAUUUCCUAGGAUUUACAGUGGAAUUUUUACUAGGUGGCAUGAUUUAAUUCACACUGGAAUUUACAGGGUUUACAGUGUAAUCUCUUGUUUACACCGGGUUUUGCACUGUAAUUCUCUAUGAUUUACACUGUCAUUUGCUAGGAUUUACAGACUAGGCACCUACAGUUUAAUUUGCUCUGGAAUUUACUGGGUAUUUACAGUGUAAUUGCAUCUUUUGUCUACAUUUUUCACUGGUUUUUGCACUGUAAAUUUCUAGGAUCCGCACUGUAAUUUUCCAGGAUUUACUGGCAGUGUAAUUACCAGCAGUUACAGUUUGGAAUUUAUGGUGAAUAUACACUGGAAAUUCUAGGUAUUUUGUGUUUUACAAGUAUAGUUACAUGGGGAUUUACACUUGAAAUUACUAGGAUCCUACACUGUAUGUUUUCUGAAAUUUUUACUAUCUUUCCCAUGUUAAUUCCUUGUUGAUGUCUCUUUAUGUUUUUUCCCAGAAUUAUAGCUGAUGUUGAUCUCUCUGUUUGUAGAUGAAGCAAUUUCUUUGUGAUUUGUUCAAGCAAGAGGUGAAGAGGGGUUUGCCCUUUGCGUGCGUUCCAGUGUAGGCAUGUGAUGUGUCGUCCUGGAGAUCAGGCGGAUGCUGGCCCCUGAUUUUCUGGAGGGGUUUGUUGUCCAGGACGAACCGGGUCAAAUGUUUAGCCCAACCUGUUUAGGCGUUCUUUUUGUUAUCUGUUCAUAUUUCUGCUAUUUACAGGUGCCAGCUGUUGAUUGGUGAGGGUAUUUGAUUGUUUUCGAAUUGAAAAACAAUCAAAUGUCAAAUAGACAG
rnacentral:lncRNA from 1 species